UCCCCCUCCCUUUGGGAGAGUCGACUUCGGCACAAACAGCAUUACUCUAAAUUACAACACUGCCACUCCACUAUCGGUGCUUCGGCAGGUGAAUCUCGGAGGUUGACGCAGCAGUCGGAAUUCUGCCACAGCCAGUCGCAAGCAAAUAUCCCAAAUCCGAAAGCGAACCGAACAGCCGGACUGGAGUCGAUGCUGGUAAGUCUCUGCUUGUGCGUGGCCACCCACCAACGAUACAACCUGAGCCGAGCCAGAGCCAGCAUCAGCUCUAUCCACUUCUCUUUUCACUUACCGAACUCGACUACUCGAUCGCAUACAGUAAUUCGUCGGCGGUGUCGGCGAAUUCGACUUUCUGUCCAACCAAGAGGCGGCAAGAGACGGCGAUGUCUCUCUCCCCCUCCCCCACCCUCACUCCACAUUCAAGCACUACCCGUCUUUUGAUAUUUGUGGCAUCAGCAUUAGCUGCCCAGCUUCUGCCAUGCAACAUGCCGUAAAGUUUUCACCUUUUUUGUCACCUGCGUGUUGUUCAGUACCUGGGACUGGAGGGGUUCCGAAGAGCGUGAAAAUGCACGCGAGCUUACAUUCGAUUCGAUGGUGCUUCUCCAUUCUCCCUUCUCCUCUGUUAUUGUUAUAUAAGAUAAGAUAUGGCUCUAAUCUUCGGACCACUGCAACCGGUUCUCCGAUCUUGUGCUUGCCUAGUUUUCACGUCGAGCUGCUUUAGCUUCAAUUGGGCCUCUGCGUGCAGAUGCUGACAUUAGAUUUCAGAUUGAUUCCUGUCUAGUUUACUUUCCUUUCACCCUCCCCUAAUACUGUUUUAUCAAGCUGAUAAUUACACUUCCUCAAGUUGAAGAAUUUGAUAUAUUACGAUUGUUUUGUUUGACGUGUUCAAGAAGGAGAGAUAUUCACCACAUAACCAAGCGCUAUAUGUAUUUGGUCUAGUCGACUAUCUAAGGUAAGGUGAGUCUUUUGGCGGCAUGCUUUUAUACUCUGUGGCUACGACCAUGGAGAGGGCAUAGGCUGAGGAAAAAGUUUCCUCGGACGUGAUUGUUUUCAAGUAAAGAUAUGUUGUUCCCUACCUGUUAACUGCAUGGGCAUACCUAAGUUGUACAUCCUGUCAUGUACCAGGGAGCCUAUUGGUGAGACCGGGUGCUUCUUUCCAUUGAGGAGAGUUCGUAUAUGACUUGGACAAUCAGAACUUGGUAUGGGAUUAUUUGGACGACAAAAUCAAAUCAGAUUAUAGAGCAAGAUUUGAUAAGUAAUAGUCAACAAAUUGGAAUUCAUUUAUCAACCGAUUUUUUUUCUUCCAUUUGAACUAAUUUCAAUAAUUAUUUUAGUUGCUUCUUGCCUCAUUAGCAAGUUCAUCUCUUUGUUGGCAUGUGCUUGUGCAUAUCAGCCUUUGUUAUGUAAGCGAUUUCAACUGACAGGAUCUUUGUUGUGAUCUAGCUACUUUGGAUCUAAUCAUGUGCUAACAAAUCCUUUUGUACUCCCUGCUUCAACAGAUAUCAAUCGUGAGAGACCUUUCAUCAACAGAAUGAUCCACUUCUGGGAUCAUUUGGACUGUUUCAGACUGUUAAGAUCAGCCUCCUAUGAGGUGAUCCGAUUCCUUUUGCUCACUUAUUAUUUUGAUAACUUCCAAAUAUCUGCAUUAAUACACUUCUAGAGUAGACUGUUUCUGAUGUAGCUGGAUCUACUUUGAAGAAUGGCAAGAUAUUAAAUGACAUUGUAACCAUCAACUGGGUUUUUGGAGUUCUAGGUUCCGAUGCUAAUUGGAUUGUCUGAUUGAACCAUUAGAAUGCUUUUUGUGGUGCUUGAAAAUACAGUUCAAGCUACUUUGGUAUUAUCAGUUUUUCAUAGUUCUAGCAAAUCUGCUACUUUUGAUAAUUUUGUGCGUGUAUACUCUAUGUUUGCUCCUUAUUUAUGAAUAAUAUAUUAUGUUCUUUCAUUCAUCUAUAAGACUAGAUGAAAAACACCUUAAAAGAUUGGAACAAAAUUGGAAACAGCUUAUUACUGGGAAAGAUGCUAUCUGAAGUCAAUAACUUUCAGAAAGGGGCUUGAGCUACACUGAGAAUGUAAAUGUAAAAUCCUAGCUAACUGUUAACUGUAACUCCUCCGUGGGUAAGGUAGAACAGAUUUUUUCAUAUAAUGAGAAGAAUUUGUGUCGUUUCCAUUAAACAUUAGGUGAGGAAUGGGCUGAUGCGCAAAAAAGGAGAGGUAAAAAUGGAGGAUGAAGUUAUCAAAGGAGAUCAAAGGAUAUUUUGAAGGACACCCACGGGAUUGCUGGGUUGUGUCCAACUUACCACAAAACACCAACAAUAUCAACGCUGGCUAAUCAUAAGCUUUGAAAGUUUGAGGUAAAAAUGUAGAAAAAAGUGGGUUGAAACUUAUGAUGUGAAUGUGAAAUCCGAAUCAAAAGUGAGUUCCAAUCUUCUAAAACGGAAUGAUGAUGUUUGGAGAUUUUUGUUUUUGAGGUUGGAUUCCUCAAUAGAUCUCAUGCAAGAGUGCUCUGCUUCGUCAUAAAGUUCUUCCUUUACUUUGUUAUAUUUGGUUGUUUGAACUGGUUUAACACUAAAUUUUUCUUCCUUGGAGAAUUGUAGUAUUUGGGUGAUUUGCUGAGUUCUCCUUGUCCCGAAACCAUAAAGAUAUCUGGGGUUUGGACCCGUCCUGAUUCGGGUGCACCGACAAAGGGAGAUAUCGCGGGGAGGAUCAAUUAGUUUUGGUAAAUCACCGGAGAAUAGAGCUCAGAAUAUUCUCCAUAGACCUUUACUGAAUGACCCUUAUGGGUAUAUCAUUAUCUAUCAUGUCUAAACAUUUAAAAGUAAAAAUUUAAAAGUAUUUAAGAUGCAAGGGUGUGUGACCUUCCACUCUUUUUCUUUCCAAAGCAAACAGGGCUAUUCCCGAAAAACACAAAUUUCUGAGUUUCUCUUACCUUUUCUAUCCCUUUGUUCUCGGAAGGUCUGAAUCAUAUUGUUUUGCAUUAUCUUCUAUACUGAUACCCUUGAAAGAAGUGAAGAUAUUUUCCUCUACAUCUUCAUGUUAAUGCAUCUUUUAUUCAUUCCAUUGCUUAUCAAAUUGGGAGAUUUAUAAUUCUGAUCUUUACUGAGACGACUGAGGAUCGUUGGAGGAGCCCUUCCAGUCACAAUGACCUGUUAACUGAAUGCUAUAAGAAAUUUAAAUGGUCUUUUUCAUUUUUUAUUUUUUUCCCUUUGAGAAAAAGAACGUCAAAUCGUGGAUCAUGCUAUAUAAUGAUGACAUGGGGCCUUAUCUUAAAUCCCUGGGUCUCAUAUUUUCUUGAGCCAAAAGUUCUUCCAAGCCUAAUUACCUAGGGAUAUUAUGAUCGUCCAUAGAUCACAUGCAUUGGUGUCACUAUUCUUUUUUUUUUUUUAACAUUCGUCCAAACAGUUAAACCAGCAGUGACCAUGGUAAAAACCAGAAUCAUGGGCUAUUCGGCAACGCGACUUUAGGAGGUUGUUUUGGCUGUUUGGGAGCUGCCAAUAUUGUGAACAGAUGUCCUCCUCUGCUUUAGUUAUUCAACCCUUGGUUAAUCUACUUAUUAUGAUCUUUGAAACAUAUCUUUAUAGAUUCGUCAAACAUUUGCAAGGUCUUGGAGAUAAUUUUAAUUCUUUAAGCGUUCUGUCUCAUAAAAUCCUUUCACAGAUGGAAGACUAACACAUCAACGGUGACAGUUCACUGGGAUAUAGAGUUAUAUGUACUCCUACGGUUUUUUUUUUCUCGUACCUUAACGCAUUAAAAAGGCCUAAAAACAUUUGUAAUGAAUAGUGAACCAUAGUAUUAGUACGCGGCUUGACUUAGGAGGAGGGUCUCACAUGCUAAUAUCCGCUCACCUUCAAAAACCCUAAUGAUUCUGUUCUCCACUUGGGAGGAGUGUGCGUAAUUGUCAGAAUGGUGGAAAAAAAAAGGCAAGAGGGACUGUGAAGUCAAUCAAAAUAUUGUGGUUUGUGCUUUCCUCGAGGUGAAGGUGGCCCAUUCAACAGCAUGAAGGAAUUCCUUUGGGUCCAUCUGAGGUCAGGCUCAAACCCAUCCUACCCAUCAUCAUCCCAUCUCUUUCUUUUAUUUCUUUCAAGAAUUACUUGGGGGUUUUUUUUUCCCCCCCUUUCCUUUUUUUUUUUUUUGCCAUGUUCGUGAUACAUUUGGAAUGUUCAAUUCUUUCAUCAUUCUCUUGUGGGCUCCCACCUCCCGUGUCCUUUUUUCAGGCUUCUACUGCUGCAAUUAGAAUUUAGAAUCUAUCAGCUUUAAUGUCAUUAAGUUUUAGUGUGUUCAUUUAGUGUCAAUUCUUCUCCCCUGCUGCAGAAAAUCGCUUGGGGACUGUGGUUAAGAAGAGAAAUGACGGUGUUAGUUUUGACAGAAAUUUUUCUUGUGCCAAAUUCAUGUAGAAGCCGCGGUUGAAUCUUGUUUGCUUUGCUGGGAAGGGGAAGGGAAGUAAUCUUAAGGGUAUUUUAAUUAAAUAAUCAAUGACUUUGAUAUAGAUUUGCAUCCUGAAAUGUCAAGAGUUCAGUUUCAGUUUCUCCUCUCCUUUAGUGGGCGAGACAGAUGAGAUGAUGGGGGAUUCAGUCGACAAAACAGGCCUUCUUUCUGGAAAAAUAGCAGUUUCAGUUGUUUCCUUCAGAGCUGAAGCUGAUGGAGCAUUUUGAGGAGGAACUUAAUAUUAAGUCGUUUAGUUGAAUCAUCCUUGGGAUGGGAUGAGAACUUUGACUCGCAUUUCAAGGAGGGAUACAUAUAUACACGCGCGCGCGCAUUGCCAUAGGCAUGAAUGCCAUUCCAGGAUCUUUCCAUUUUAUCAUGAAGACUUGAGCUUGUGGAUUCCGUAUGUUUCAGAGGUUCUACACUAUCACAUUCAUUCCACGGUUUCCUUUAUUUUAACCAUCUUUUGCCAAUCAACUAAUUAGCUAGCUUGCUAGAUAUGUACGUAUAAGUAUUCGGCGGAGUGAACUGCGGAUUUUGAUGGCUAGACUAUAGAGAGGGAGAGAGACAAAAACCGAAAGAAAGAAAGAAAGAAAGAAAGAAAGAGAAAAGGAGAGCGAAAUAAUGAAGAGGACAAGGGGAGGGGGGUUGUGAAGUAAAAGCAAAGCACGCCCGACCCCAAUAGCCAUCAUUUAAAGGGUUUAUAUUCAAGGAAAAAGCGGUAGGGCAAAUGGCAAGGUGUGGUGUUGGGUUUUAAAGGUCCACAAAUAAAAUACCUAUUUGCCACGCGGAUUUCCACCCCCCCCCCCCCCCCCCCCCCCCCCCCCCCUUUUUUUUGUAUUUUCUUUUUUCUCUUUUAUUGUUAUUACAUAAGAGAGAGAAUUGCGUGACUCGGUUUAAGUGAUUUUGUACUUAUUUUAAAGGUUUUGGGUUCAAGUAUUGUGAAGGUAGAAAAUUCAUGCUGAAAGAGUUUCAUUUCUUAA